rnacentral:rRNA from 1 species
UACGUAGACAGCGAGCGUUGUUCGGAGUUACUGGGCGUAAAGGGUGUGUAGGCGGUUCUUUAAGUUUGGUGUGAAAUCUCCCGGCUCAACCGGGAGGGUGCGCCGAAUACUGAGGGACUCGAGUGCGGGAGAGGAAAGUGGAAUUCCUGGUGUAGCGGUGAAAUGCGUAGAUAUCAGGAGGAACACCGGUGGUGUAGACGGCUUUCUGGACCGUAACUGACGCUGAGACACGAAAGCGUGGGUAGCAAACAGG